rnacentral:rRNA from 1 species
AAACGCCAUGGAGGCCCGAACCGGUUGACGUUGAAAAGUCUUCGGAUGAGCUGUGGAUAGGGGUGAAAGGCCAAUCAAACUGAGAGAUAGCUCGUACUCCCCGAAAUGCUUUUAGGAGCAGCGUGGAAUUUAGUUUAUCAGAGGUAGAGCUACCGAUUGGACUAGGGGGAGUCAAAUCCUACCAAAUCCAGACGAACUCCGAAUGCUGAUAAAUAUAUUCUGCAGUGAGGGCUCGGGUGCUAAGGUCCGAGUCCGAGAGGGAAAGAACCCAGACCAUCAGCUAAGGUCCCCAAAUGUAUGUUAAGUUGUAAAAACGCGGUUGAACUGCUUAGACAGCUAGGAUGUUGGCUUGGAAGCAGCCAUUCAUUUAAAGAGUGCGUAACAGCUCACUGGUCGAGCGACAGAGCAUCGAUAAUAAUCGGGCAUCAAAUACAAUACCGAAGCUUAGGAUCAUUUAUGAUGGUAGGGGAGCAUUC